rnacentral:rRNA from 1 species
GCGCACGGGUGCGUAACGCGUAUGCAAUCUGCCUUCCACAGAGGGAUAGCCCAGAGAAAUUUGGAUUAAUACCUCAUAGCAUCAUGACCCGGCAUCGGGAUAUGAUUAAAGUCACAACGGUGGAAGAUGAGCAUGCGUCCCAUUAGCUAGUUGGUAAGGUAACGGCUUACCAAGGCUACGAUGGGUAGGGGUCCUGAGAGGGAGAUCCCCCACACUGGUACUGAGACACGGACCAGACUCCUACGGGAGGCAGCAGUGAGGAAUAUUGGUCAAUGGGCGCAAGCCUGAACCAGCCAUGCCGCGUGCAGGAUGACGGUCCUAUGGAUUGUAAACUGCUUUUGUACGGGAAGAAACCCUCCUACGUGUAGGAGCUUGACGGUACCGUAAGAAUAAGGAUCGGCUAACUCCGUGCCAGCAGCCGCGGUAAUACGGAGGAUCCAAGCGUUAUCCGGAAUCAUUGGGUUUAAAGGGUCUGUAGGCGGUCUUGUAAGUCAGUGGUGAAAGCCCAUCGCUCAACGGUGGAACGGCCAUUGAUACUGCUGGACUUGAAUUAUUGGGAAGCAACUAGAAUAUGUAGUGUAGCGGUGAAAUGC